rnacentral:tRNA from 1 species
GCCCUUUUAUUAACUCCGCGGUAGAGUCACGCCAUGGUAAGGCGUAAGUCAUCGGUUCAAAUCCGAUAAAGGGCU